ensembl:lncRNA
GAUAGAUAUAGGGUUAUGAUAGAUUCAGGGUUAUGAUAGAUAUAGGGUUAUGAAUAGGGAUAGGUUUAUGAUAGUGAUAGGGUUAUGAUAGAUAUAGUGUUAUGAUAGAUAUAGGGUUAUGAUAGAUUCAGGGUAUGAUAGAUAUAGGGUUAUGAUAGAUAUAGGUUUAUGAUAGGGAUAGGGUUAUGAUAGAUAUAGGGUUAUGAUAGAUAUAGGGUUAUGAUAGAUUCAGGGUUAUGAUAGAUAUAGGGUUAUGAUAGGGAUAGGGUUAUAUUAGAUAUAGGGUUAUGAUAGAUAUAGGGUUAUGAUAGGGAUAGGGUUAUGAUAGAUAUAGGGUUAUGAUAGAUAUAGGGUUAUGAUAGGGAUAGGGUUAUGAUAGAUAUAGGUUU